GUUAAUUGAUAACGUGUAGAAUUUUAAUACUCCUAGUGAAUCGAUUACGCAUUUUUACUGCAUGAUUCGUGGAUUAAUGAAAAUCUAUAGAUAAUUUUGUUUUCUAGAGUUGUGAUAAUGUUGUUGUUUGGAUUCGAUUUGAUGACGUUCAUGUUGUUUUUAUUUAAAUGUGAACUUGGAUGGUUUUCUUCUGAAUUUGAAAUUUCCCUCGUGAUUUGAAUUGAUUGAUUUUGUUUUGCUGUGGGGAAGAGAGUUUUCUGGACUGAUUGUGAAUGCCACAGUGAGGUGGUGAAGUAUUUAAUUAAAUUGAAAAAAAAAGUGAAAGAAUUGUGUUGUCUGAUAAAUUUUGUUGAAUGUACUCUGUUAUUUUGAGCACUAUAAUGAUCUAUGAUGGAGGAAAUGAUUUCUGUUAAACAAUUUGUUAUGAUCUGAAGCUUAUUGGUUAUUUCGACCUGACUUGUGAGAGUAGUGAUGACUUGGUUGGAGCAAUCCAUAAUCAAGAGUUGAAUAGUGGAUUCUUGUGUCUACUGCUAGAUUUACUAUGAUUUGCAUUUGCUGAUAUGUGCUAAAUGAAAUGGUGAAUAUUUUCCCUCGUAGCAUUUGUUGUACUUGGGAGGUGCAGAGGCUAAAUGUGAUCAGUUCUUGUUGGGAGUUAGUAUCAUGUUUUAAUGUCUAGUGCUUGUUGGACUCCCUGAUAACAUUAGUAUGCUGUUUCAUCUGACCUCUUGGAAUUAUUAUUUUGUUUGAUCUGUUGCAUUGGUGUAACUAAUGUUUUGUGCUCAUUGGAACCCCCUGUUGUUGGGGAAGGCUUUGUGUACUUCCUUGCUUACAUGUGUUGUCUGAGUGUUCUUGAAGUGACAUUUAGGUGUGAAUAGCUACUAGCAGAUGUAAUAUAGCAGUGAGAGGUUGUUUUUCGUUUGUUUGUUUGUUCGGGGGGUCAGGGGAGCGAAUGGCCACUGUUUUUAUCCUUUUUUAUUAUGGCACGCGAAGAUUCUGAUAUGUAGUUAUGUAGAUGAUUUGAGAUACAUCUAUUUUGUUAUCAUAUAGGAGCAUUUGCAGCAUUAGAUGGAAUCAACUGAGGAGUAUGAUGAAUUUCUAAAGAAGGUGGAGAGGACUAUAUAUCUGGACAACAUCUCACCGGCUGUGACUGAACCUGUCUUGAAAGCUGCUAUUGAUCAGUUCGGCAAAGUAAUCACGGUUCAGUUCAUACAUGCCUACCUGCAACCGAAUGGCAUCCAUGCUGCCCUAGUGGAGGUGGAAAACAAAAAACAGGCAGAAACUCUCAUCAAUGAGCUGGAGAGCGUUCCAUUCAUGGUUGGUGGAUGCCUAGGCCUGUCCGGGCCCAGGCUGCUCGUAUCGAGAUGUUUGCUGAUCGUCCCAGAAAACCAGGACGUCGUAUACAGUGCAGAUGGGUGACCAACAAGGACCCCCAGUAUGAUGUGGCUAUGAAAGUGCCCAGAAGCUGGUGAAGAAACAUGCUGAAGAAGUUGCAUUCUUGCUCAACGAACAAGUGAAAGAGGAGGAACAACUUGCCAAAAUGCAGAGUCACACUCUGAAUGGUCACCACAAUAAACUUAAGCUGAUUGAGAGUAUUUCUGGAGAAGGAAAACUUAGAAAGCUGGCGCAGAUUUAUGAGAUUGACAUUUGAUGUUUCCCAGUAUUGUCCCUUGCUUGUUUGGUGCAGCUGUUAAGCGUGAAGUUUUUGUCUAACAUUAGAAGAGACAGAAACCAUGAAUCAUGUCAUUCCAUUUUAUAGAACUAAGUAAAGCAUGUAUAGUGACACUCUUGGUUGAUGGCAUGGAAUUCUAAUUUUUGCUACA